ACCUUCUAAUUUAAGUUCUGUGCUAAAAUUGCAGAAACUAGUAUCAUGUCAUGGUGUUUGUAAAAAAGCUAGCAGAGUAAACACAAGAAGAAAAAGAAGUGUGCCAGAGAGUGGAAAAACUGAGAUGCACCUCUAAGUCCGGGGUACUUUGUUCUAAGAUUUGGUACAAUAAUA